CUGCCUACGAGACGCAGCAGUGAGGAAUAUUGGUCAAUGGUCGGGAGACUGAACCAGCCAAGCCGCGUGAGGGAGGAAGGUACAGAGUAUCGUAAACCUCUUUUGUCAGGGAACAAAGGCGGGGACGUGUCCCCGGAUGAGUGUACCUGAAGAAAAAGCAUCGGCUAACUCCGUGCCAGCAGCCGCGGUAAUACGGAGGAUGCGAGCGUUAUCCGGAUUUAUUGGGUUUAAAGGGUGCGCAGGCGGUCUGUUAAGUCAGGGGUCAUAGCCCGGGGCUCAAACCCGGCCCGCCGUU
rnacentral:rRNA from 1 species